AUCUAACCACAUCCUCAGGAGUCUCUUCUGCUGCCGGCCUCAUCUGCUACUUGGUCCCCGGGUUCCACCUCUAUUUGAACUUUGAAAAUAACUAAAGAAUUAAAUGAAAACUCAGUAUGGCUCCCAAUGCCUACCAGAAGCAGCAGUAGUGAAUCGACGGGAGGGGAAGUUCUUAUCGGUCCUACAAAGCUACAGUUGGCUCCAUUUCACAGAUGAGGAAUUUGGGCCGUGGAGAAAUGGCUCAGCCAGGCAUCACAGGGUUUCAAAAUGUCAGUCUGAUGAGAAAACACCAGAACUACCAUGGAGAAUGAUAAAUGGAAGAGUAAGCAGCAGAAAAACAACCAAGAACUACACGGCUCAUCAGCUGGGAAUUCCCCAGAGUUUGGCAAUGCUGUGUUUCCUGCCUUAGAAUUUGUGACCCCCGGUUGACCUUUGUAUCAUUUACAUAGAGGGGCUUCUCUGAAAGAAGAACCACAUGCACACUUAAUAAAAAACGGGUGGGGACUCAGAGUCACCCAUGUGCUUCUUAGUUCCUUUUUACCUGAUACAACCUAGAGACAUCUGAG
rnacentral:lncRNA from 1 species